rnacentral:rRNA from 1 species
UGGGGAAUCUUGCGCAAUGGGCGAAAGCCUGACGCAGCCAUGCCGCGUGAAUGAUGAAGGUCUUAGGAUUGUAAAAUUCUUUCACCGGGGACGAUAAUGACGGUACCCGGAGAAGAAGCCCCGGCUAACUUCGUGCCAGCAGCUGCGGUAAUACGAAGGGGGCUAGCGUUGCUCGGAAUUACUGGGCGUAAAGGGAGUGUAGGCGGACUGUUAAGUUAGAGGUGAAGGCCCAGGGCUCAACCUUGGAAUUGCCUUUGAUACUGGCAGUCUUGAGUACGGAAGAGGUAUGUGGAACUCCGAGUGUAGAGGUGAAAUUCGUAGAUAUUCGGAAGAACACCAGUGGCGAAGGCGACAUACUGGUCCGUUACUGACGCUGANGCUCGAAAGCGUGGGGAGCAAACAGGAUUAGAUACCCUGGUAGUCCACGCCGUAAACGAUGAGUGCUAGUUGUCGGCAUGCAUGCAUGUCGGUGACGCAGCUAACGCAUUAAGCACUCCGCCUGGGGAGUACGGUCGCAAGAUUA